rnacentral:rRNA from 1 species
AACAAACGCUGGCGGCGUGCCUAACACAUGCAAGUCGUACGAGAAAGGGUCCUUCGGGAUCUGAGUAAAGUGGCGCACGGGUGAGUAACGCGUGGAUAAUCUGCCCUUCAGUUGGGAAUAACUCAUCGAAAGGUGGGCUAAUACCGAAUAACGCUGUGAGACUUUGGUCGAUCAGCCAAAGAGAGCCUCUGCUUGCAAGCCCUCGCUGAAGGAUGAGUCCGCGUACCAUUAGCUAGUUGGUAGGGUAAUGGCCUACCAAGGCGACGAUGGUUAGCUGGUCUGAGAGGAUGAUCAGCCACAAUGGAACUGAGACACGGUCCAGACUCCUACGGGAGGCAGCAGUGAGGAAUCUUGCGCAAUGGGGGCAACCCUGACGCAGCAACGCCGCGUGAGUGAGGAAGGUCUUCGGAUCGUAAAGCUCUGUCGGAUGGAAAGAACCGCAUGGGGGUAAACAGCCCCCGUGUCUGACGGUACCAUCAAAGGAAGCACCGGCUAACUCCGUGCCAGCAGCCGCAGUAAAAC